GAAACCUGGCUUGUCCACACAACACCCUGAGCCCUGUCUUGAGCAACUCCGGCUCCCAAACCAGAAUGCCAGAGUAUUAACUUACAAUGAGAACGACUGCGGCAGAGGGCAGAGGUUAUAAAAAAGGAAACUAUUCUUUGGGACACACUCAAAUGAUCCAAGAAGAGUACAAAGAAAGCGAAAGUCACCUGCUCUCCUGCUCAUCAGACGUGACUGUGUUGGCUAGUGUCCUUCCUGGUACAUCCGGUCACGGGCGACCUUACGAACUUCCCUGUACUCCAUCUGACAAAUCCUGUAUGUGCCUCAAAAUCCAACUCAGGCGUCCGACCCCUUUGUGAUGUCUCCUUGACACCUCCCCCAAAUUAACCACACCCUUUGUGCUCCAGCUCUUGUGCUUAAACACAUUUAUCCCACUGAACUGUGAUUACGUGUUUGAGUGUCUGUCUCCCCAGGUAGAGAUGAAGCUCUCCAAGGAGAGAAACCAAGUUUCUGACUCAUGUUUUAAUCCCCAGUGUCCAGCACAGGGCCUGGCACUACGUAUGUACGGUAAAGACGAUCUAAAAUGAGUCAAUAAGUUAAUGAAAUCAGUGAGUGAGCAGACUAAGAAGGAAGAAUGCAUACACCU